UUGUUGUGUGAAGGGGAGUCUUUCGGGUAUAUGCCUAAGAGUGGAAUUGCUGGUCCCCACCCCUUCUUAUGAUGUACAGUGGGUGCUGACUUUUACAUGGAUGCUGGGGAUCUUUACAUGUUUGAAACAUUUCUGCAAGAUUGGUCCAAGUCAAAAUUGCUAUAGUCAGUUGGCUACAGCAGCCUUUAAAAUGUUUUCGUUUUUAAGUUUUGUGUAUGGGUGUUUUGCUCUUGUCCAUAUACCAUGUGCCUACAGUGUCCUCAGAGGCUAGAAGAGGGCCUUGGAUCCUCCUAGGGCUGUACAUAGGCUGGGGUGCCAAAUGUGUGCUAGGUAUUGAACCUGGUCCUCUGGAAGAAUACCAAGUGCUCUUAACCACCAUCUCUCCAGUCUCUAUGGUAGCCCUCCCCCUUUUUUGAUAGGCUUUCUCAAGACAGGGUUUCUUCUAUAAAUCAGAGAUCCACCUUCAGUCACUGCCUCCAGAGUGCUGUGACUAAAGGUGUGCACCACCAGAGCCCAGCUCCUACAGUAGCCCUUUUGAUGCUCAUUUCUGUAGUCCUGAAUUGGAAAAACAAAACCAGUAUUUAAGAAUUCUGCCUAGUGCAGUAGCAUAGGCCUUUAAUCCAAGAAUUCAGGUCGCCAAGGUAGAUCACCAAGAGUUCUAGGUCAGCAUGGUAACAUACCUAGUUUUAGUCAGGUACAGCAACAAAGACUUCAGUGUGAAGUAUGUAUCACCAUGGAGGGCCUGAAUCGCCAGCCACUAUUUGUGUUUUAAGUCGCCACUUUCAGAAGUUCUGCAUCACAUUACCUUUCAUAGAGCACACAGUGAAAUGAGUUAUAGCAAAUACACUCUAGUGACUGUUCUGAAACUGCUGAGAUGAGGCUGUGUUUGGUGUGCACACCUAUAAUCCUAGCAUUUGAGGCUGAGGCAAGAUUGUGAGUUUAUGGGUUACAUGACAAGAUCCUUUCUUAAAAAAAAAAAAAAAAAAAACCUGCCAAAAUGGGUUACAGCUAAUCAAGCCCCCAGUCCUGAGAUGACCAAAUUUUAUAGUGGUCUGCUUUCCCUACCCAAUUCUUAGGUUUCCAUUGCUGUCAACAAAAGCAUUUCGGGGAGGAAAGGGUUUAUUUCAGCUUAUAAGCCUCGGGUCACAGUCUAUCACAACAGGAACCUAGAGGCAGGAGCUGAGGCAGAGGCCAUGGAGGAAGCUGCUUACUGGCUUGUUAGCACUUUUUGUGCAAUUCACCACUACCUGCCUAGGGAUGGCACUGCCCACUGUGGACUGGGCCCUUCGAUGCCACAUCAAUCACCGAUCAAGAAAAUGCCCCCUCAGGCAUGUCUACAGACCAAUCUUAGAGGCAUUUUCUACAUUAAGGUACCCUCUUCUGCAGGGCAGUGGUAGGGCAGCCUUUAACCCAAGGUGGAUCUCCAAAUUUGAGGGCAACCUAGUCUACAGAGUGAGCACUCCAUCCCUCUUCCCAGAUGUGUCACACUGACAAAAGGAAAAAACAAAAAACUGGCACAUCAAUGGUCCCCCUGAAUAUUUAAGAGGAUUUCAUGCAAAUGCCACCUUCAGUGGGACAUGAAUAUGUUCUGAUAGCCUAUAGUUUUUGCUUACACAACAAACAAGAGGGCACUGGAUAAUAUCUUUAUGGAGUAAACAUUGGAGACAUCUAAAGUGACAAAGCUAUUUUCUUAGGUAAAUUAUAUAACUUAAACAGGGUGUUGGAGUGACACUCCCAUGCUGCGUUAUAUGGGUAGAUCAACACAGGAAGCCUGUGUCAAGAGGACGUUAUGUUUCCUAUUCCUCAAAUGCUGAUGUGAAUUAACAGUACGGGACUUUAAUGUAUUAUGCUAAUAGGUAUUUUCCCUCUGAAUCCUUCCCUGAAGACCUGGCUUUGUAGAAAUGAACUGAAAAAUCGUUUUAGAACCGUGUAUAUGUGUGGACUUGAAACUUCAGGGCCUCCAUUUAGGUUUGCACCUUAAAACCAAAAGGGUCCCUUUGGAUUCCUAAAAGCACACAGCUGUUAAGAGAUGCUUUACACUGACAGCUUUUCCCAGAUGUUAGUGCAAAUGCACCUAGAUCCAUGGCUUACUCUCCUCCCUUCUGUCUUGUCCUGAUGGGAUCAUGCUGUGAUUUGCCCUCCUUCAAGAACUUUUAACUGCUUUGAUUCCGCUCAUCUUUUUAUAGGUGUGAGAAGAAAGUUAGCAGGCUACGUGGUCAGCAUCUAGGCUCACUAUUUGACCAUUCCAUCUGAUACACACCCGUCUCCUCAAGUCUGGACUAUUUACAUAACAGCUAUCCAUCUGCUGACUGCUAAAGGAUCUUUCCUUCUGGAAGGGGAGCAGGAGUGUCCCCCUGGGCAGCUAAUGAAGGGAGUUUACACCCUGAGAAACAGGUCAACAGAGAAACAGAACGGAGACCAAUGGAGAGAAACAAUGUCGAAGGUGUCAGGAGGGGGAACACCAUUGUGAUUAGCUGCAGUGAAAACAUUCUCCUGAAUGAACCUCUUCACUCUCCCGACCAUCUCAGCAUCAAUUUUUUUCUGCUGCUCGAGAAUCUCCAGCAUUUUAGACAAUGUGCACACGGAGUGGAGACGGAUCCCCUGAGCAUGCAAUUUGUCCUUGCCUCCCUGCUCGCGGUCUAACAGCACUAUGGCAUCAGUAACCUUCAGGCCCUCCUUCUGAAGAACUUCAACAGUUUCCAAAACACUGGCCCCACUGGUGACCACAUCUUCAAUGAUCAGACAGGUCUGCCCUGGAUUAAUCUCUCCUUCUACAAGACGCUUGGUACCUAGAAAAGAAAAGCUUUUGUUGAAAGAAAUAUAUAAAAAAAUUUCAGCUACCUCAAAAUAUAUCCUGAAUACAUUUACUAUGUACUUACAAAGAGUUAAGAUUCUUCACAUUUUAUUCACGACCAUUUACUCUUAAGCUACUUUCUGUUGAUUACUCAACGUGCCAUAAUUGUUUUGUUCGGUAUCCUCUGUAUCUCCAAAAUACCACUUAUAUACAGGUUACAGUAAAACAAAUUAUUUUACAAUGUAAAUAAAAACUCUUUUCUGAA